rnacentral:piRNA from 1 species
CCACAUGGAAGGUAUGUCUCAGA